CAAGUUUUUAUGCUGCCCAUGUACUGUCUUCCAAGCCUGAUCUACUACAGCUGCACACUCAGGAUGAUCUACCCAGUAAGGUUGAUAAAGCACAAGGGCUUGACUCUCAUCACAUGGACUUUUCCUGUUUGAUACAUCACAAGAGGGAAUAACAGGGGUUUCGGGAACCAUUUCAUCUUCUAUCAAGCAAUCUUGCUAAUACACGGCUCCGACAUUGCAGCCCAUGGAAGCCCUAUCAAGUGCACCCAGAACAAGCAGGAUUUGAAUUCAUAACAAUGCUCGGGAACGGCAGGGUCUCCUUCUUGGAUGUGAUUAUUCAACUCCGUAAUAUCAUCCGCAGCCCAGAGAUCUCCCAUGCGUUUACAGAGGGUCAACAAGCGGAGCUGGUUUUCAUAGCUGCCCUCCAUCGCUCCAGCAGGACUUUCUAGAGAGAGGGUUUUCGUUGACAACAAGGUGGGGUUCCGAAGAUGGGUGGAUUUUGGUUCAGAGGAUGGAUUUAUAGGGAAUGAAGGGAGCUCUGUAGAUUACAUGAGCAUUUACCGAUAGAUCUGGGUUAUGACAAGUUAGGGUUUGAGGAAGCAAUUUGUUCAUUCUUUUUGUUGUUUUUGGUUGAGAAGAGAAAAUGAAAUGAUCAAUCCGGU